GAAUAAUCCUUUACGCCUUGAGAAACUGGCAAAUGAGGUGACCUACCGUCGGAUGAAAGACACGUUGAUACAAUUGAGUAAAGGUGUGCUGAAGGGCCCUGCCUCUGACUUGGUUCGUGUUCUUUUUGGGGAGAGACCUCCAACAAUGUCUAAGAAGGAUGUCAGUUUCACUCCUUCGAAUCGCAACCUUGAUCACUCGCAGAAAGAUGCAAUUUCGAAGGCACUUUCAUCCAAGGAUGUAUUUUUGUUGCAUGGGCCUCCUGGAACUGGGAAAACGACCACUGUUGUUGAGAUAAUUUUGCAGGAAGUCAAACGUGGUUCAAAGAUUCUCGCUUGCGCUGCUUCAAAUAUUGCUGUUGAUAACAUUGUUGAGAGACUUGUUCCACACAGAGUGAAACUGGUGAGAUUGGGACAUCCUGCACGUAUGCUCCCACAAGUAUUGGAUAACGCUCUGGAUGCCCAGGUUCUACGUGGUGAUAAUAGUUCUCUUGCAAAUGACAUCCGCAAGGAGAUGAAGGCAUUGAAUGGGAAAUUAUUAAAAGCUAAAGAUAGAAAUGUGAAGAAGGACAUCCGGAGGGAACUCAAGUCUCUUUCCAGAGAAGAGCGUAAAAGGCAGCAGCUAGCAGUAACGGAUGUUAUUAAGAAUGCAGAUGUAGUGCUGACAACAUUGACUGGGGUAUUGACCAAAAAGUUGGAUGGCUUAUCAUUUGAUGUGGUUGUUAUUGAUGAAGCU
rnacentral:misc_RNA from 1 species